AACCCAUGGUGAGGACACAUACUCAAUAACUCCUUAAAUCUCUCCCAAGAAUGAUACAAAGUCUCAGUAUAAUUUUGUCCAAAGAUAGAGAUUUGCCUUUUUAAAGCGU